AGUGAACGCUGGCGGUAGGCCUAACACAUGCAAGUCGAACGGCAGCACAGUAAGAGCUUGCUCUUACGGGUGGCGAGUGGCGGACGGGUGAGGAAUACAUCGGAAUCUACUUUUUCGUGGGGGAUAACGUAGGGAAACUUACGCUAAUACCGCAUACGACCUACGGGUGAAAGCAGGGGAUCUUCGGACCUUGCGCGAUUGAAUGAGCCGAUGUCGGAUUAGCUAGUUGGCGGGGUAAAGGCCCACCAAGGCGACGAUCCGUAGCUGGUCUGAGAGGAUGGGAGGCCAACGUGGAGUGAGACACCGGUCAAGCUCCCUCGGGGAGGAAGCAGUGGGAAUAUUGGGACAAGGGGGGCAAGCUUGACCCAGCCAUCCGGGGGGGGAGAAAAGGGCCUUGGGUUUGAAAGCCCUUUUUUUGGGAAAAAAAAAGCAGCGGUUAAACACCCCGCUGUUGGGACGUAACCAAAAAAAAAAGCACCGGCUAACUUCGUC
rnacentral:rRNA from 1 species